UACGUAGGGUGCGAGCGUUGUCCGGAAUUAUUGGGCGUAAAGCGCGCGCAGGCGGUCCUUUAAGUCUGAUGUGAAAGCCCACGGCUCAACCGUGGAGGGUCAUUGGAAACUGGGGACUUGAGUACAGAAGAGAAGAGUGGAAUUCCACGUGUAGCGGUGAAAUGCGUAGAGAUGUGGAGGAACACCAGUGGCGAAGGCGACUCUUGGUCUGUAACUGACGCUGAGGCGCGAAGCGUGGGAGCAACAG
rnacentral:rRNA from 1 species